rnacentral:rRNA from 1 species
UAAGGAAUAUUGGUCAAUGGACGCAAGUCUGAACCAGCCAUGCCGCGUGAAGGAUGAAGGUCCUCUGGAUUGUAAACCUCUUUUAUCUGGGACGAAAACGGGAUUUUUAUCUCAAUUGACGGUACCAGAGGAAUAAGCACCGGCUAACUCCGUGCCAGCAGCCGCGGUAAUACGGAGGGUGCGAGCGUUAUCCGGAUUUACUGGGUUUAAAGGGUGCGUAGGUGGGCUUAUAAGUCAGUGGUGAAAUCUCCGAGCUUAACUUGGAAACUGCCGUUGAUACUAUAGGUCUUGAAUUAUCUGGAGGUGAGCGGAAUAUGUCAUGUAGCGGUGAAAUGCUUAGAUAUGACAUACAACACCAAUUGCGAAGGCAGCUUACUACAUAUAAAUUGACGCUGAGGCACGAAAGCGUGGGGAUCAAACA